rnacentral:rRNA from 1 species
UACGAAGGGGGCUAGCGUUGUUCGGAAUUACUGGGCGUAAAGCGCGCGCAGGCGGCCAUUCAAGUCAGGGGUGAAAGCCCAGAGCUCAACUCUGGAACUGCCCUUGAAACUGUAUGGCUUGAGUAUGAGAGAGGUGAGUGGAAUUCCCAGUGUAGAGGUGAAAUUCGUAGAUAUUGGGAAGAACACCGGUGGCGAAGGCGGCUCACUGGCUCAUAUCUGACGCUCAGGCGCGACAGCGUGGGGAUCAAACAGG